rnacentral:rRNA from 1 species
GACGAACGCUGGCGGCGUGCCUAAUACAUGCAAGUCGUACGCUUCUUUUUCCACCGGAGCUUGCUCCACCGGAAAAAGAGGAGUGGCGAACGGGUGAGUAACACGUGGGUAACCUGCCCAUCAGAAGGGGAUAACACUUGGAAACAGGUGCUAAUACCGUAUAACAAUCGAAACCGCAUGGUUUUGAUUUGAAAGGCGCUUUCGGGUGUCGCUGAUGGAUGGACCCGCGGUGCAUUAGCCAGUUGGUGAGGUAACGGCUCACCAAGGCCACGAUGCAUAGCCGACCUGGGAGGGUGAUCGGCCACAUUGGGACUGAGACACGGCCCGAACUCCUACGGGAGGCAGCAGUAGGGAAUCUUCGGCAAUGGACGAAAGUCUGACUGAGCAACGCCGCGUGAGUGAAGAAGGUUUUCGGAUCGUAAAACUCUGUUGUUAGAGAAGAACAAGGAUGAGAGUAACUGUUCAUCCCUUGACGGUAUCUAACCAGAAAGCCACGGCUAACUACGUGCCAGCAGCCGCCGUAA